GCAGAGCAUCCUACGGGGGGCAGCAUGGGGGAAUAUUGCACAAUGGGCGCAAGCCUGAUGCAGCCAUGCCGCGUGUAUGAAGAAGGCCUUCGGGUUGUAAAGUACUUUCAGCAGUGAGGAAGGUGGGUAUGUUAAUAGCAUACUCAUUUGACGUUAGCUGCAGAAGAAGCACCGGCUAACUCCGUGCCAGCAGCCGCGGUAAUACGGAGGGUGCGAGCGUUAAUCGGAAUUACUGGGCGUAAAGCGCAUGCAGGUGGUUUGUUAAGUCAGAUGUGAAAGCCCGGGGCUCAACCUCGGAAUUGCAUUUGAAACUGGCAAACUAGAGUACUGUAGAGGGGGUAGAAUUUCAGGUGUAGCGGUGAAAAUGCGUAGAGAUCUGAAGGAAUACCGGUGGCGAAGGCGGCCCCCUGGACAGAUACUGACACUCAGAUGCGAAAGCGUGGGGAGCAAACAGGAUUAGAUACCCUGGUAG
rnacentral:rRNA from 1 species